CUAUCUUUAAUAACAAAAAAGUUAUGCAAAAUUUUCGAUCUAAAAAAGUACAUGUUAAUUGUAAAAAACCGAAAUUUCGAUUUUUCUCAAAAACUAUAAUUUUUUUAAUUCUGAUAAUUAUGUGUAAGGUGCCCCUUCACUAGGAGUACUUGACUGUUUUUAAAUGAAAGCUCUAUCUUUAAUAACAAAAAAGUUAUGCAAAAUUUUCGAUCUAAAAAAGUACAUGUUAAUUGUAAAAAACCGAAAUUUCGAUUUUUCUCAAAAACUAUAAUUUUUUCAAUUUUGAUAAUUAUGUGCAAGGUGCCUCUUUGCGAGGAGUACUUGGCAGUUUUUAAAUGAAAGCUUUAUCUUUAAUAACAAAAAAGUUAUGCAAAAUUUUUGAUCUAAAAAAGUACAUGUUAAUUGUAAAAAAUCGAAAUUUCGAUUUUUCUCAAAAACUAUAAUUUUUUCAAUUUUGAUAAUUAUGUGCAAUGUGCCCCUUCACUAGGAGUACUUGACUGUUUUUAAAUGAAAGCUCUAUCUUUAAUAACAAAAAAGUUAUGCAAAAUUUUUGAUCUAAAAAAGUACAUGUUAAUUGUAAAAAACCGAAAUUUCGAUUUUUCUCAAAAACUAUAAUUUUUUUAAUUAUAAUAAUUAUGUGCAAGGUGCCCCUUCACUAGGAGUGCUUGGCAGUUUUUAAAUGAAAGCUUUAUCUUUAAUAACAAAAAAGUUAUGCAAAAUUUUUGA